GAUGAACGCUAGCGGCAGGCUUAAUACAUGCAAGUCGUGGGGCAGCAUGAGUGUAGCAAUACAUUUGAUGGCGACCGGCAAACGGGUGCGGAACACGUACACAACCUUCCUAUAAGUGGGGAAUAGCCCAGAGAAAUUUGGAUUAAUACCCCGUAACAUAACGAUGUGGCAUCACAUUGUUAUUAUAGCUUCGGCGCUUAUUGAUGGGUGUGCGGCUGAUUAGAUAGUUGGCGGGGUAACGGCCCACCAAGUCUACGAUCAGUAGCUGAUGUGAGAGCAUGAUCAGCCACACUGGCACUGAGACACGGGCCCGACUCCUACGGGAGGCAGCAGUAAGGAAUAUUGGUCAAUGGACGCAAGUCUGAACCAGCCAUGCCGCGUGAAGGAUUAAGGUCCUCUGGAUUGUAAACUUCUUUUAUCUGGGACGAAAAAAGGCUUUUCUAAGUCACUUGACGGUACCAGAUGAAUAAGCACCGGCUAACUCCGUGCCAGCAGCCGCCGUAAAAC
rnacentral:rRNA from 1 species